CUUUCUCGUAAGUUCCUCCGCAAGGCUGUUGAGUCGCUUUAAAUGGCCACUUGACUUGCGCACUGCUUCAAUGCCUUUUUCAUUUCUGCAGAUCAUCUUCAGAACUUCAGAGGCGAUAAAGAAGCCAUCCUCCUUAUUCCUGAAUACAAGAGCUCCCAGAGAAGAAUUUCUACGGAUCCAUGGGUAUCAAUUAGCACUUCAAUAAGAUGGGGAUAACGUGAUAAAUUUCUUAAAGUAGAGAGCGCGUGCUUCAGGACUUCCUGAUCAGGUAUGCUUCGGCUGACUGACCGAAUGAGCUUCAGCAAAGUGCUAAUAGCUCCAGCACCAACAAGGGUUUCGCAGCAUUUUUGAGAAUGUCCUGUCGCCAUAUCUACAAAAGCAGAUUUGUACACCAAAUAUUUAUUUUCAGUCAAAUGAUAAAUGAUAAGGCAUAUUCAGGAAAAAGUAAGUGAAAAUUGCUAGGA